UUAGUCCAAAAAAAGACGUUGAAAACUGGUCUUUGUUUGGUCCGUCUAAUUCAGUCCAAAUUUAGCCUAAAAUUAGACGUCUUUUUCGGACCACUUUUCAACGUGUCUCCAUUCAAUAAUAAUCCAGACAAAAUAUGCAUGAAUGUAUACGCAGAAAAAAUAAAUACUGAGCACAUUGAACGAUAAUGAAAUGCUUUGUUUAAAGUCUAUUAAUAUUUCUGUUUAUUUUAAUUAAAUAAAUAUGUUAAAUGUGCUCUAAACAGGUCAUUUUGGUCCACUACAGCACUGAUAGAAGCACUUCAUUUUCAUCUUUUAACAAAUAUCUUUAUUUUCUUUUAAUAUGAUAUUAUUGGCAGAGGCGCGCGACCAUCUCAUGCUUUGUGGUCACGUGAUUAUUCAACCGGAGACGCGCGUUAGGGAUUUUCUCCUCAGACCAGUGUUUCUGUUUUGUGGUCGAUUCUGGGAUCCUUUUCUUGGUGUGUCUUGAUGUUUUCUAUUGGCUAAAGACAUGUCUCUGUGAAACUGACAAUCUCAGGUAGGAGCUGCUGGUUUGUGGUUGGCAGUAUGGAUCACAGUCUGCGACUCAUGAGGAGCUGGGCUGGAGACAUGAAGAGGUUGUUAACAGGCCAUCCAUCCAAGAUCAUCUAUCUGAGCUGCAGAAAACUGCCUCGGUACGGAUCUGUUGGAGCUUUGUGUCACUGACUGUAUUUCUGCAAAUUCCUGUUCCGUGUCAAAUGGCUUAUGCAAGACUGAAUCCAUAAAGGGGAUGGUCUGUGGAGACUGUGGGUGAUUCCUUUUGCUGUCAUUUAAACAUGAGCAGGAGUAAUGACGGGAUUUAAAUGGACGAAGCUAAUAUUAUGCCAGAGUCCGCUGCUUAUGCUGUAACCAUAAAGCAACCAGGACAACACACCUGGAGUGACCGAGAGCAGGAUGAAGAAAGAAUCGGACGAGAAAAUAUCAAGUGGUGCCCAUGAGGAGACAUAUUGUUCUUGGACCUGCUUUUUCUGUUUAGUAAUAAGUGGUUUUAUGUGGUUACAUAAAAGUAAUUUAAUAUUCAAUCCACAAGCUAAAUUUCCUACAUUUUCUUAAAAGGGUAGUUGACCCAAAAAGGAAAAUUCUGUCAUUUACACAAACAGUUUGGUUACAAACAUUUCUCACAAUAUCUGCCUUCCUGUUUAUCAGAACAAAGAAAUGUAUGCGGGUUUGUAACAACAUGAGAGUGUGUAAAUGACAUAAUUUUCAUUUUUGGGUGAAGUACCCCUUUAACAUUUUUAUACACAGGGGUAGGGGUGUGCAGCGGAGUCAGUAUUUGUAUCUGUAACAGUCUCAAAAUGAUUUGUAUCUGUAUUUGUAUUCGGAUUAAACCGGAAGUGGGUGGGUUGACAACUCAUAUUACAUUAAAAUGGCAUUUUAAAUGCAUUUUUGCUUUUUAUUAUAAUUAUAACUUAAAUAACUGUAAAUAUUUAUUCAAAAUAAUAAUACAAAAUUUUAAUCAAAAAGACAAAUAACUUGAUUCUCGUUAGUAAUACUCAUGGAAAGCAAACAACUAAUUUUUAAAGCCUCAUACAGCUUGUGCUAUGCAUCAUUGUAUUGUAGCAUUAAAAUAACAAACUUGAAAGCACGUUGACAAAACUGUAGGCUAGAUCACCUUUAAAUGUUUAUUGUGCCUGUCAGCACAGUUCCAUGAGACCCAUUCUUUCUAAAUGAGUGCGAUGUUUUCAGAAAAAAAUAAGUAGCCUACAUUAAUCCCUAGUCUAGCGAUUUAAAUAUAGUAAUUAAACAUCUAAAAUUAUCGUUAUUUGUAAGUUUUCUAAAAGAGUGAAAUAUAACCUAAUACUACUCAUAUCCAUGUCUGACAUCUUGGUUUCAGUUUAAAAACAUGCAGGAAUUUGAAAAUAAAAUGCAGGACUUGCUUGAUGCUUAAAGAGUUAUUAAGGGAGAUAAAGUUCGGGAACUGAUUUAUGUUAAAAAGUUAUUAAGAUCGACAAACUCGCGCUGACUGACAGAUCCGAAAUGCAACGCAGGGACACGCAAGUGGCGCAGUAUAUGCACAGAAUAGUUCAAAAACAUCUGUUUUGUUAAGAAUUUACGAAAGCAUAAUAAGCAUUAGAACAAACUUGCUGAGCUCAUUUUUAUCUAUUUCCAUAUAGCGUUUGCGCGAAUAUAACGAAUUGUUUAAAAAAAACUUUCUUAUUAAUCUUCAUCUAAAUAAAUAUAUAAUUAGAUAGUUGUUUAAAUUUUUAAAUAACAGUAUGCUCUAUUAAAAAUCAGUUUUGACUUAGUUCAAAACC